UACGGAGGGGGCUAGCGUUAUUCGGAAUUAUUGGGCGUAAAGGGCGUGUAGGCGGCUAGGUAAGUCAAAGGUGAAACCCCUCGGCUCAACCGAGGAACUGCCUUUGAAACUGCCUGGCUUGAGGCCGGGAGAGGGUAGUGGAAUUCCCAGUGUAGCGGUGAAAUGCGUAGAUAUUGGGAGGAACACCGGUGGCGAAGGCGGCUACCUGGACCGGUUCUGACGCUGAGGCGCGAAAGCGUGGGGAGCAAACAGG
rnacentral:rRNA from 1 species